UACAGAGGUCCCAAGCGUUGUUCGGAUUUACUGGGCGUAAAGGGCGCGUAGGCGGCAAUUCAAGUCAUCUGUGAAAUCUCCGGGCUUAACUCGGAACGGUCAGAUGAUACUGCUUUGCUCGAGUGCGGAAGGGGCAAUCGGAAUUCUUGGUGUAGCGGUGAAAUGCGUAGAUAUCAAGAGGAACACCUGAGGUGAAGACGGGUUGCUGGGCCGACACUGACGCUGAAGCGCGAAAGCCAGGGGAGCAAACGGG
rnacentral:rRNA from 1 species